AAACCCAAUAUCGUUCUUCCCAAGAGACUCGAAAGGCCUUAUCGUUUGUGUGAAUUAAAAUCGUAAGACUUGUAAAGAAAAAUUAAUGGUUGUAUAUGCAAGGACACAAAAUAAACAUGCAAAGGUAUUUGAUUCAAUUAACGAGAAGAAAGCUAUGGAUGAAUGGAGUUGUUGGGGGGUUACAAUUUCACCUUAUCCGCUCUCUUUUAUUUACUCCUCUUGUUUAAUGUGCUUGAUUAUCUAAUCAUUAUGCAACUUUCUUGGCCUACCCUUAACCCGAUCCCUCGGCGAAAAGAGCCUAUUACUAAUUACUGGCUUACUAUCCCUAGCCUCCCCUAGCAAUUAAUAAUGCAUUAAAGAACAGAAGCGAAAACAAUUGAUCGUCCUACCCCUAUCCCUAGGUGGUAUUGCUUAAUCAAGGAAUUACUCACCAGUUCAUGACAUUACUGUACGUCCCCG
rnacentral:lncRNA from 1 species